UUCAGUGGGAAGGAGCCUACAAUCAAUUUUCUUCUCUCAUUUCUCUCUUAAAUACGAUAUAACUCCGUGUUGGCUAUUGCAAGGUAUCUGAGCCUGAUCCCUAUAUUUGGAUUCUCAUUAUGUACGGGUUCGUCAACUAUGCCAUCGAGCAGCUGGUGGUGAGGAACUUCGGUGAUGAGACCUGGGAAGACAUAAAGCGCGAGGCGGAGGUACACAUGGACGGGUCGUUCCUCGUGAGACUGACGUACGACGAUGAAAUCACUUACAACGUGGUGGCAGCUGCAGAACGCGUUUUGGG